CAGUAGCCGCGGGAAUACAGAGGGUGCGAGCGUUAAUCGGAUUUACUGGGCGUAAAGCGUGCGUAGGCGGCUUCUUAAGUCGGAUGUGAAAUCCCUGAGCUUAACUUAGGAAUUGCAUUCGAUACUGGGAAGCUAGAGUAUGGGAGAGGAUGGUAGAAUUCCAGGUGUAGCGGUGAAAUGCGUAGAGAUCUGGAGGAAUACCGAUGGCGAAGGCAGCCAUCUGGCCUAAUACUGACGCUGAGGUACGAAAGCAUGGGGAGCAAACAGGAUUAGAUACCCGUGUAGUCCCUGUCCCUUAUAC
rnacentral:rRNA from 1 species